rnacentral:sRNA from 1 species
UAGAGUUCUUUUCGCCGUUGGCUUUCGGUG